GAGUUUGAUCGUGGCUCAGAUUGAACGCUGGCGGAAUACUUUACACAUGCAAGUCGAGCGGCAGCGCGGGGCAACCUGGCGGCGAGCGGCGAACGGGUGCGUAAUACAUCGGAACAUGUCCAGUCGUGGGGGAUAACCCGGCGAAAGCCAGGCUAAUACCGCAUGCGCUCGGGAGAGGAAAGCGGGGGACUCGCAAGGGCCUCGCGCGAUUGGGUUGGCCGAUGUCCGAUUAGCUAGUUGGUGAGGUAAAGGCUCACCAAGGCGAUGAUCGGUAGCUGGUCUGAGAGGAUGAUCAGCCACACUGGGACUGAGACACGGCCCAGACUCCUACGGGAGGCAGCAGUGGGGAAUUUUGGACAAUGGGGGCAACCCUGAUCCAGCCCAUUCCGCGUGAGUGAAGAAGGCCUCGGUU
rnacentral:rRNA from 1 species